ACGCUUCACCACAAGUUAGUAUCAAGUUCCGCGUUGGUCGUCGGUGUCGCUUAGGCAGUAAAUAAACAAAGAGGAUAACUUUUUAUACAUUAAACAGACGACUAAUCAAAUUAUUCAUCGGGUAUUGCAUGUGAUUAUAAUAGUAUUUUUUAGGUAUUAUAGGAAAAUUUUAAAUAUAAUCAUAAAUGAUUUCAAUUUAUUUUAAAAUAUGAUUAUUUGAUUCACACAUGGCCUACGACAAAUGAAUUCAAGAACCGGGCAAGUAGUGUACUCAUAAUUAAAUCGGUUUUAAUU